rnacentral:lncRNA from 1 species
AGCAGAUAUGCCAACUCUUUUCUUGUGGAUUUGCACAGAUUCAUAUCACUUUUCAUCACCUGUAGAUUUCCCAAAGGGCUCCCGUAAAAGCAGCAAGCUACUGGAACAUUUGUCUCUCAGAAAGUUUAAAACAAAUGAUCUGAGUGUUAUUAACGUAUGAAGACAUAUGGCUUAUGGGAAGGAAAUUAUCCUGGGGUAUAAAUCCUGGUGAGCACAGUAUUUUAAGGAGAUUAUGAAUGACAAGAAAUAACAGUAUUUUCUCUGUUCAAAGAAAAACAUUAAUGAUUCGGCUUCUGUCUCAUUGUCUCUAGUUUUCUUAUUUUAUUUUAUUUUUUAAUGCAAGAAAGCACAGGUUUACUUAAUAUUUUCAAUUUUAAAUGUUAUUUUUUCUCAUCUUAUUGAGUACCUCUCUGCAACGUUUGGAAUACUUUAUCUGGCACAGCUUCUUAUGACCAACCUCCACCUUCAUAUAUACAAGCACAGGUCCCAGUGAAGUCAAUGGAGUUGCACUUGCUUAUUUGAGAAGAGGUUUGAGGCCUUUCACCUUAAUACAACCAAGAAUGCUUCUAUUGCUUGAAGAGUUACUGGACAACUUAUUUU